rnacentral:rRNA from 1 species
AACGAACGCUGGCGGCAGGCCUAACACAUGCAAGGCGAACGCUGUAGCAAUACAGAGUGGCAGACGGGUGAGCAACGCGUGGGAACCUUCCCAAUGGUACGGAAUAGCCCAGGGAAACUUGGGGUAAUACCGUAUACGCCCCUAGGGGGAAAGAUUUAUCGCCAUUGGAUGGGCCCGCGUCGGAUUAGCUAGUUGGUGAGGUAAUGGCUCACCAAGGCAACGAUCCGUAGCUGGUUUGAGAGAAUGACCAGCCACACUGGGACUGAGACACGGCCCAGACUCCUACGGGAGGCAGCAGUGGGGAAUCUUGGACAAUGGGCGCAAGCCUGAUCCAGCCAUGCCGCGUGAGUGACGAAGGCCUUAGGGUUGUAAAGCUCUUUUGCCGGGGACGAUAAUGACGGUACCCGGAGAAUAAGUCCCGGCUAACUUCGUGCCAGCAGCCGCAGUAA